GGCCGACUAGCUCAGCUGGUUAGAGCGUCGUGCUAAUAUGAAUGUAGAACGCGAAGGUCUUGGGUUCGAUCCCCACGUUGGCCA
rnacentral:tRNA from 1 species